AGGAUAAACGCUGGCGGCGUGCCUAACACAUGCAAGUCGAACGCGCUUUCGGGCUUCGGUGCGAGAGCGAGUGGCGGACGGGUGAGUACCACGUGGGUUAUCUACCGUGAGGUGAGGAAUACCGGCGAGAAAUCGCCGACAAGACCGCAUAGCCUCGGUGCAAGCCGAGGAAAGCUUUCUCGAGAGAGGGAGCGCCACACGAGGAGCCUGCGCCCGAUUAGCUAGCUGGUGGAGUAACGGUUCACCAGGGCGACGAUCGGUAGCUGGUCUGAGAGGACGAUCAGCCACACUGGGAUUGAGAACGGCCCAGACUCCUACGGGGGGCAGCAGUGAGGAAUUUUCGUCAAUGGGGGCAACCCUGAACGAGCAACGCCGCGUGCAGGAAGAAGGUUUUCGGAUCGUAAACUGCUUUUCGUCGGGGAAGAGAACGGACGGUACCCGAGGAAUCAGCCCGGCUAACUACGUGCCAGCAGCCGC
rnacentral:rRNA from 1 species